rnacentral:rRNA from 1 species
AUACGGAGGGUGCGAGCGUUAAUCGGAAUUACUGGGCGUAAAGGGUGCGUAGGCGGCUUGAUAAGUCGGAUGUGAAAGCCCCGGGCUUAACCUGGGAAUUGCAUUCGAUACUGUCAGGCUAGAGUAUGUCAGAGGUUGGCGGAAUUCCUGGUGUAGAGGUGAAAUGCGUAGAUAUCAGGAGGAACACCAGUGGCGAAGGCGGCUAACUGGGGCAAUACUGACGCUGAGGCACGAAAGCGUGGGGAGCAAACAGGAUUAGAAACCCUAGUAGUCC